rnacentral:misc_RNA from 1 species
AAACCACAUGUUUCAAAAAUAAACAAAUCAGCCCAAGAACUAAACACUAAAAAGGAUUUGGAAGAUCAUUCAACUUGAAUAUAUAGUCUAGUAUAACGUUCAAAUAUAACGAUAGCAGCAAAUAAAAGAAAGGCAGAAGCAAAAUCAAAGCAAAUUAAAAGAGAAUUCUCUAGUUUUCAAGAAAAGUUUUCUUGUUUCAGGAAGAACACCGUAACGGCAGUG